CAGGGAAUAGUUUAAAUAGAACUUCAGCUUUGGGGGUUGAUGGUGAGACUGCAGUUUCUUCCUUGA
rnacentral:tRNA from 8 species